rnacentral:rRNA from 1 species
AGAGUUUGAUCCUGGCUCAGAACGAACGCUGGUGGCGUGUCUGAUGCAUGCAAGUCGAGCGAGUCGGGCAGCAAUGCCCAGGCGAGCGGCGGACGGGUGAGUAACGCGUGAGCAACCUGCCCCCUAGUUGGGAACAACCGGCCCAACGGCCGGCUAAUGCCGGAUAUUGCGGGGAGUCGCAUGGCUCCUUAGCGAAAGAUUCAUUGCUAGGGGAUGGGCUCGCGUCCGAUUAGGCAGUUGGCGGGGUAAAGGCCCACCAAACCUACGAUCGGUAGCCGGCCUGAGAGGGCGAACGGCCACAUUGGGACUGAGAUACGGCCCAGACUCCUACGGGAGGCAGCAGCAGGGAAUAUUGCGCAAUGGGGGCAACCCUGACGCAGCGACGCCACGUGUGGGAAGGAGCGCCUAGGCGUGUAAACCACUGUCGUGGGGGAACAGCCUGCAGCUUCGGCUGCAUUGAGCGUACCCCGAGAGGAAGCACCGGCAAACUUCGUGCCAGCAGCCGCGGUAAUACGAGGGGUGCGAGCGUUGUUCGGAAUCACUGGGCGUAAAGGGAGCGUAGGCUGCCCUGCAAGCCGGGCGUGCAAUGCUGGGGCCCAACCCCGGCCUUGCGCCCGGGACUGCGGGGCUUGGAUGUUCCAGAGGCUGGCGGAAUUCCCGGUGGAGCGGUGGAAUGCGUAGAUAUCGGGAAGAACACCGAGGGCGAAGGCGGCCAGCUGGGGAAUCAUCGACGCUGCGGCUCGAAAGCGCGGGUAGCAAACAGGAUUAGAUACCCUGGUAGUCCGCGCCGUAAACGAUGCGCGCUUGGCGCCCGGGGGUUUAUGCCCCUGGGUGCCGUAGCCAACGCGAUAAGCGCGCCGCCUGGGGAGUACGCCCGCAAGGGUGAAACUCAAAGGAAUUGACGGGGGCCCGCACAAGCGGUGGAGCAUGUGGUUUAAUUCGACGCAACGCGCAGAACCUUACCAGGGUUUGACAUGGGGAAGAGGUAGCCAGAGAUGGCUGCGCCCAGCAAUGGGCUUCCCGCACAGGUGCUGCAUGGCUGUCGUCAGCUCGUGUCGUGAGAUGUUGGGUUAAGUCCCGCAACGAGCGCAACCCGUGCCCUUGGUUGCCAAUAUGGCUCUCCAGGGGGACUGCCGGGGACAACCCGGAGGAAGGUGCGGACGACGUCAAGUCCUCAUGGCCCUUACAUCCUGGGCCACACACGUGCUACAAUGGGGGGCACAGAGGGAAGCCAGGCCGCGAGGCCGAGCGGAUCCCGAAAGCCUCCCCCAGUUCGGAUAGGAGUCUGCAACCCGACUCCUUGAAGCCGGAAUCGCUAGUAAUCGCGGAUCAGCAUGCCGCGGUGAAUACGUUCCCGGGCCUUGUACACACCGCCCGUCAAGCCAUGGGAGGGGAGAGCGCUCCAAGACGUGCAGCUAACCCGCAAGGGAGCGGGCGUCCAAAGCGAGAUCCCUGACUGGGGCUAAGUCGUAACAAGGUAGCCGUACCGGAAGGUGCGGCUG